GGGCCAGUAGCUCAGUGGUAGAGCACUCUAUCAGUGUAUGGAAGGUCCUAGGUUCAAUUCCUAGUUGGUCCA